UGAUUCAGUCAGCAGCAUGCGAGGGAAGCAGUUUUGUGCAGCGCUUCUGGUCACUGUCUACAUCACAGCAUUCGAAUGUAAACUCGAAAUUUUUGGACUCAAAAAAUACAACAUGGCAAAGUUUUUACAGACCAAACUUCCCAUAUGGACGUUCUUCACAACCAGUGGCGGCAAGGCGGAAUGUGAGGGUGGCAAGCCCUAUGAUUGGCACGUUUGAUCAACGUCAUAAAAACCACAUGGCCGUUCGAACACCAGGUGGUUAUUAUUUGCAAGAAAAGAUUGUCUACGCAAGCCAUGCGUACUCUUGUGCAGUUAUUCAAGUGACGACGAAGUUCUGUGGUCACAAACACAUAUAUGACCUUCUCGUUUGGAACUCGUCAAUAAAAGCUGUGCCUGACCACAAGUGUAUCAAGCAAUACCGAAAACGAGAGAGCAAGGGAAGAAUGGUGUACCAUCCGUAUUGCCAAGACAUACUUAAAAACCGUGGUUACUUUCAGAAUCAGUCAACCUACGCAGAAAAGUGCCUCCGCUAGUUUAUGUAUACAAUUCAUUUUUGCUGUUAAGAGAUGUGCCACAGAAACAUUGCUACUGAUGAGAGUGAUAAGCAGAACUUACUUGUACUAUAUGUGUCAUGUUCAAUAUUCAGGGCUCAAUAUACGUAAUAAAAUAAGUAGAACUUGACGGGAAACCUAGUGUGGCAUUUUGACUUUGCCGAAAUUCGGUUAAUUCGGUUAUAGGGGUAGUUACUUACUGUGUAUGGUGAUUACACACAAUAAUAUUGUUAAAACCAAAUAACUGCUCAUGUGAACGCAACAGUGUUAAACCCAUCUACUAACUGGAAAUACUGUUUUAGGGUGCUUGGCUGCCAUCAAAAAAAAUUAUUUUUUGCGCGUAAAAAUUGGCCACGGCCAGAUUCGAGGAGUCAGUAGGUCCACUCAGAUUGACAAAUCGAAGCUCACUGUCUUUCCUUAGGUGCGUGGAGUGUCCCACAGAUUAAAAAAGGAGGCAGACAGGGCGCGAAUGUCAGUUGUCUUCUCGACUUCAAAAAAGCUGAAAGCCUCUGCAGAAGCUCAAUCAAGAUAAACCGUCCUAGAAAGCAUGCCAAAAGAAAUACCAGAGACCUGUUACUACUUGCAUCAAGAGAGUAGUUAAUCGCAUUCCUUCAAUCUGCAGCCGCUCCUACGCAAGACAAACUGUACGCUGCCUUAGUGAUAGCCUCAGAGGACAUGCCAGCAUUUUCGGGCAAAAGCAAGGCAGCAACAUGGCACUAAAAUGCAGAUUGCGUAAUCGCGCACCACAUUUCACUCACGUCACCGUCAUCAGAAAACAUUCAGAUGGGCGCACGAGCGAGCUCGUUGAAGCAUAAUUCACUAUUAUCAAGC
rnacentral:misc_RNA from 1 species